AACGAACGCUGGCGGCAUGCCUAACACAUGCAAGUCGAACGAGACCUUCGGGUCUAGUGGCGUACGGGUGCGUAACGCGUGGGAACCUGACCUUAGGUUUGGAAUAACUCUCCGAAAGGGGUGCUAAUACCGGAUAAUGUCUUCGGACCAAUGAUUUAUCGCCUUUGGUUGGGCCCUCGUUGGAUUAGCUAGUUGGUAGGGUAAUAGCCUACCAAGGCGCGGAUCCAUAGCUGGUUUGAGAGGAUGAUCAGCCACACUGCGAUGGAGACCCGGCCCAGACUCCUACGGGAGGCAGCAGUGGGGAAUAGUGGACAAUGGGCGAAAGCCUGAACCAGCAAUGCCGCGUGAGUGAUGAAGGCCUUAGGGUUGUAAAGCUCUUUUACCCGGGAUGAUAAUGACAGUACCGGGAGAAUAAGCUCCGGCUAACUCCGUG
rnacentral:rRNA from 1 species